rnacentral:rRNA from 1 species
ACGGAAGGCAGCAGUGGGGAAUAUUGCACAAUGGGCGAAAGCCUGAUGCAGCGACGCCGCGUGAGUGAAGAAGUAUCUCGGUAUGUAAAGCUCUAUCAGCAGGGAAGAAAAUGACGGUACCUGACUAAGAAGCCCCGGCUAACUACGUGCCAGCAGCCGCGGUAAUACGUAGGGGGCAAGCGUUAUCCGGAUUUACUGGGUGUAAAGGGAGCGUAGACGGUUUGGCAAGUCUGAAGUGAAAUGCGGGGGCUCAACUCCUGAACUGCUUUGGAAACUGUCGAACUAGAGUGCAGGAGAGGUAAGUGGAAUUCCUAGUGUAGCGGUGAAAUGCGUUGAUAUUAGGAGGAACACCAGUGGCGAAGGCGGCUUACUGGACUGUAACUGACGUUGAGGCUCGAAAGCGUGGGGAGCAAACAGGAUUAGAUACCCUGGUA